UUGGGCCUUUUCAAAAGGUCCUGAAUGCUACUGAAUGUGUCCUGCAAGGAUCUCUAAAGUAGACCCUGAAAAAGAGGAAUCACGUGCAGUUUUCACUGAAGAGGCUGGUGGAGAAGUGAGGGAGUCAGGGAAACGGAAAGAUGCUCGAGGAGGAAUGGAGCCCAAGCCAUAAAAGGAGGUCUCUGUCUAAGCCCCCAGGGAACUCAGCUUUGACUAAGGGUUACCUUGGUCAUAAAUUCCCAGGUACUCCUAGUUCUCCCAGUUCGGAGUCAACCAGACUCUAAAUCAGACUCUAGCAGCUGAAGGGACAGUUCUAAUUCAAUCUGGCUAUCCUGAGAAUCCUCCUGGGGACGGACUGUGUCUAAAUUGAAACCCACUGGAAGAGGGGACCAUGAAGAUCCGAAGAGGGAUCCAAGAGAAUUCGGGAAGAGCUGCUGCACCCCACAAUUUAAAAGGCAUCUUUCAGCAUCCUCAGAACUCCUUAGCAUCAGUAGUCACCCCAGCUCGCUCGAAGAGCCUGGUGAUGGGAGAACAGAGCCGGAGCCCAGGGAGGCCCCUGGUCCCCCACAAGCUGGGCCCUGUACUCAAGGCCGGCUGGCUGAGGAAGCAGAGGAGUAUCAUGAAGAACUGGCAGCAGCGAUGGUUUGUGCUACGAGGGGAUCAGCUCUUCUACUACAAAGACAAAGAUGAAAGCAAGCCCCAGGGAUUUAUUUCUCUACAAGGGACACAAGUGACCGAACUUCUUCCAGACCCUGAGGACCCAGGAAAGCACCUGUUUGAGAUUACGCCAGGUGGUGCCACAGAGCGGGAGAAGGUGCCAGCCAACCCGGAGGCGCUCCUGCUCAUGGCCAGCUCCCAGCGGGAUAUGGAGGACUGGGUGCAGGCCAUCCGCCGUGUCAUCUGGGCCCCGCUGGGCAGAGGUACUUCCCGUAGCUCGCAUGUCCACCCUGUAAAACCCUUGUCUGCAGGGAUCUUUGGCCAGCGGCUAGAGGACACAGUGCACCAUGAGCGGAAGUUUGGUCCCCGGCUGGCACCUCUGCUGGUGGAGCAGUGUGUGGACUUCAUCCGGGAGCGAGGACUCAGUGAAGAGGGCCUCUUCCGGAUGCCUGGCCAGGCCAACCUGGUGAGGGACCUGCAGGAUUCCUUCGACUGUGGGGAGAAGCCGCUGUUUGACAGCACCACAGACGUGCACACAGUGGCCUCCCUGCUGAAGCUCUACCUUCGGGAGCUCCCAGAGCCCGUCAUCCCUUUCGCCAGGUAUGAGGACUUCCUCAGCUGCGCCCAGCUGCUCACCAAGGACGAGGGGGAGGGGACUGUAGAGUUGGCUAAACAAGUGAGCAACCUUCCUCAGGCCAACUACAACCUGCUCAGAUACAUCUGCAAGUUUCUGGAUGAAGUGCAGGCCCACUCAGAUGUCAAUAAGAUGAGUGUCCAGAACUUGGCAACUGUCUUUGGUCCUAACAUUCUUCGGCCACAGAUAGAGGAUCCAGUAACCAUCAUGGAAGGUAAAGGGGAGGCACGUCUCUGGUUCAGCAUCUGAUGACUGUCCUCAUCCGCAAACAUGGACAGCUCUUUGCUGCAACCUCCCUUGAAGAACCUGCUUCACCACAUGGCACAGUAGAGUGGGGCUCUGAAGAGGUCACCAGGGAUCACCGGGGUGAGCCUGGCAGCCCUGGCUUGCCCACACAUAGGACUUCAUCUCUGGAUGGGCCAGCUGCAGCAGUGCUAUCUAGAACUUCGCCGCCGCGCCUUGGCAGCCAAACUGGCCCCGCAGCCACCAGCCCUGGGAAGAAGAUGCACACUUUGCCUGUCUGGAAGUCUUCUUUUCGGCAGCAGGGAUCCCGGUCAGAGAGCCCCAAAGGGGUCAACUCAUCCUUAGAGGUACCCAUCAUCUCCUCUGGUGGGAACUGGCUCAUAAACGGGCUAUCGUCUCUUCGCAGCCACCGUCGGGCCUCAUCGGGGGACCGCCUUAAAGAUACAGGCUCGGCACAGAGACUCUCCACCUAUGACAAUGUGCCGCCAUCUAGCCAAUUUUCUAGCACUGCCAGCGUGGCCAGCACGUCAUGGUCUGUAGCCUCGUCCUCCCGAGAGGCCUCUGUCAGCAGCUGCACAGCCUGCCGGGCCAGCAACUCUUCUGCCUGCAGCUCCUUACACACCGAGUGGGCUCUCGAGCCCUCUCCUCUCCCCAGCAGCAGUGAGGGCCACCAGUCCCCGGACCUGGGCCACAGCCUGGAUGAGCCAUGUGUGGGCAGUGGCAGCAGUGAGCCCAAUGACCCAGGCAGCCCCACACAGGCCCAUGUUCGCCGCUGCCGGGCUCUCCAGGGCCAGGUGGCCGAGCUCAGGGCAGAGUUGUGUCAGCAGAGGACUGAGUACAAGAGGAGCCUGAAAAGCAUCGAGGAGGGCAGUGCUGACCUGCGGAAGCAGAUGUCUCGGUUGGAAGAGGAGCUGGACCAGGAGAGGAAGAAGUAUGCCAUGCUGGAGAUCAAGCUCCGGAACUCGGAGCGAGCCCGGGAGGAUGCGGAGCGCAGGAACCAGCUGCUGCAGAGGGAGAUGGAGGAGUUCUUCUCCACCCUGGGGAGCUUGACUACAGGGACCAAGGGGUCCAGAGCCCCGGAGUGAAAGGAGCAGAGGCACGCGUCUGUCUAUGUCUGCUCACGUUUCCUGCAGGGCUGGCCACAGUGCAGAGGAAGCCAGAAGCUUCAAGUUUGGGCCAGGCCACCAGCAGGGCCAUCUGCCUCCAAGUGCCAGAGAGAGGGAGCCUGACACCAGGAUGGGGACUGUCAGUAUCCCCAAGAGUCCAGGCAGGAUCUGGAUACUUUUCCAAACAUACGGGUCCCAGCAGGGGUCAGAGGGGAUGGUGCCCCAGGAUCAUGAGCAUCCGCCUCUCAUCCAGGAAGAGUCCUCAGUGGCCACCCAAAAGGAUGGCACCUUGAGAGCCAGGCCACCAAGAACUUUAUUAAAGUGCUCUGAAAGCAUG